CCUACGGGAGGCAGCAGUGGGGAAUAUUGCGCAAUGGGCGAAAGCCUGACGCAGCGACGCCGCGUGAGGGAUGAAGGUCUUCGGAUCGUAAACCUCUGUCAGCAGGGAAGAACGGUCACUGUGCUAAUCAGCAGUGAAUUGACGGUACCUGCACAGGAAGCACCGGCUAACUCCGUGACAGCAGCCGCGGUAAUACGGAGGGUGCGAGCGUUUAUCGGGAUUACUGGGCGUAAAGCGCUCGUAGGCGGUAUGUCAAGUAAAGGGUGAAAUCCCCGGGCUCAACGUAGGAACUGCCUUUGAGACUUGCAAACUGGAGUGUGGGAGAGGAUAGUGGAAUUCCAGGUGUAGGAGUGAAAUCCGUAGAUAUCUGGAGGAACAUCAGUGGCGAAGGCGACUAUCUGGCACAUAACUGACGCUGAGGAGCGAAAGCGUGGGUAGCAAACAGGAUUAGAUACCCCUGUAGUC
rnacentral:rRNA from 1 species